GUCUGAUCUGAGGUCGACAUUACACAACAAACAACAAAGCGAAUGUUUUUCAUCACAGUAAAAAAACAAACCUGCGCUGACACUGCGCACACACAACCAGCAGCAGCAGCAGCAGCACGGCACAUUACCACUGUCACGUUUAUUUCCACACAUUUUCAUCAUCACACUUGAUGAAAUGAAAAUAAACGUUCUACAGAGCAACAACGCAGCAAUGAAACCGUGCAAUGGUAAGCAAGCGCGUCAAAAAUUUGUUGUUGUUGUUGUUGUUGUUUGGUCGCCAUCAUCAUCAUCAACUGAGCAACAACACAUCACCUGAACGUUGACGACGAUCAACAUACACACACACACAAACAACUUGUUGCACGAAACAACAACAACAAAAUAAGCACACAUUUUCAUCAGCUGCUCACCAUAUAUCGGUUUUUUCAUUGAUGACUACUACUAUUCACGCCAAAAAGAGAACAUGUUUGCAGCGUUUCACUUUCAGGUUACACCAAAAACCACCACCGGCACACUCAGCAGCAGCACAACAUGUGAAGCACUGAAAGCAAACGUCGACAACACUCUCCAAAUCUAUGUUGCGGAUGCAAAUACACACAAAACUGAUUGUUCCAUCACAUAAGCACACACAAUUGAUGAUGAUAGAAACAACAGUAAUAUGCAAAGCAGAUUGAAUGAUGCGCAAAGCGAAAAGAAGCGCAAACACAGCAGCACAUACGCGCGCGAGCGUAUUGUGGCUGGCGGCUUCUUGUCACAACAACAACACAACACAUUCAACGAUCCACCAGCUUUUGAUUGAACACACACAACAUAAAAUUGGCAGCAGUCGCAAGAGAUGAUCCCACACACAACAACACAUUUUUGGCCAGCGACUAAAAGCCCAGUUGUUGUUGUGUUAGCUGCUUUUCAAGAACAACAACAACAACAACGGGCAAUUGUACGAUAUUUAAAAUGAAAACGACCCUCAGACAGACGCGGCGUCGAGUCAACUCAACACCGCAAUGUGCGUUCAAAAUUUCUAUGUUCAACGUGGCUGCAAUUCACAUAAACUUUCGAGUCUCGCCUCGUUUUUCAUCGACGUACGAGCCAAGUGAUCCACCGUUCACAGUGAUAAUAUCAGUUUUUUAAACAUUCUACGAGAAAUAAAUUGAAAACCGCAACAACAACAACAACAAGCCGGAAUGCUGCUGCUCUUCACACGUAAUGAAAAACUACUAAGAGCACCACAGCAGCCGAACACUAACAACACUGUUGUUCUCAACUUAUUUCUUUACCAUAUAUGCACACAACUUUAUGUAAACAGUUUUGUAGCAAAUGAUUGAAAAUUGUCUUUACAUGCUUCAUCAACACACAAAAGAAACAUGCGCAAUUUUCAUUUUGAUUGGACGUGGCGGUUGACCAAAACUAUUGAAACCCAAACACAACGGCAGCAGCAGAAUGACAACAACCACUUGGUCAUCAUUCUGCUCUUCACAUACAGCUGCUGCUUCUCAUUUUGGUCACACUCUUUAAACCUGAUGCACAACACAACACAUAGAACUUUUUCACAACAGAACAAAUUACUGCACCCGUCUGCACAACAAAUGCAACACAACUCAACUCACAGCCAGACACAAUAUCAUCAAAAUACAGCAGCAUCAACAACAACAACAACACAAAAUAAUAAUCAUACACAAAAAACAACCACAACAACAACUGUUGCUUCUGCUGCUGCUGCUGCUGCUGCUAUUGUUUACUUGCUGUUGUUGUGUGUUGUUGUACACACACACCCACACAAUUCUGUGUGCAGUUGUCGUAUGUUUUCGAAAGGGAAUCCGGUUGAUAUUCCGGAACCGAGUAACGGAGACAAAGAGUAGCGCUUUAAUCUUCCGGUUGGCGUUCAACUCAAUCGCGCGGUAACGCAAGCGAACUCGGAAAAUGACCGUCGUGAGUUUCGAAAAGAGUUUUCUUUUCUUUUUAAGGGACGCAUUCCCUGGAACCGGGUUGUCCGGAGAUAGGGAUUCUGGUAUCCAUAAAACGCCGACUCUUUCACGGUGUUCGGAGCGCUCUCGUCGGUACGUGAAAAUCCGAGCGACGCCUGGUAAAUCUCGUACUUGGUCGUACUGAUAUCCGCAGCAGGUCUCCAAGGUGAAUAGCCUCUGGCCGAUAGAAUAAUGUAGGUAAGGGAAGUCGGCAAAACGGAUCCGUAACUUCGGAACAAGGAUUGGCUCUAAGGGCUGGGCCGAUCGGGCUGAGGUUUCAAGCGUGCAGUGUAUGCUUGGCUGAGCUGUGCUGAGGAUUGAUUAGCUUGGUGCCGUUUGUUGACCCAAGCGGCUGUCCAGGUGGUCAUGUCUGAAGCAAAGCUGGCCGACAGACCGGCACGUGCAGAACCUGAGCUGCGCGGCUGUCAGUUUAUUUGUACAGACCGUUUCGGUCGGCAUUCAACAGCCAACUUAGAACUGGCACGGACACAAGGAAUCUGACUGUAUAAUUAAAACAAAGCAUUGCGAUGGCCGAUGAUCGGUGUUGACGCAAUGUGAUUUCUGCCCAGUGCUCUGAAUGUCAAAGUGAAGAAAUUCAACCAAGCGCGGGUAAACGGCGGGAGUAACUAUGACUCUCUUAAGGUAGCCAAAUGCCUCGUCAUCUAAUUAGUGACGCGUAUGAAUGGAUCAACAAGAUUCCUUCUGUCCCUAUCUACUAUCUAGCGAAACCACAGCCAAGGGAACGGGCUUGGCAAAAUCAGCGGGGAAAGAAGACCCUGUUGAGCUUGACUCUAGUCUGACUCUGUGAAGAGACAUGAAAGGUGUAGCAUAGGUGGGAGGCUGCAGCCGGGCACUGCUUGCGCGGUGUCUCUGUGGUCGCCAAUGAAAUACCACUACUUUGACAUAGCGUGUUCGAGGAAAACCUUUUGAAAAGCACGUUCAUUGCUUGACUUGUUGUUUAUUAUUAAAUUAACAUGGCUGAGGAUGUGGCUGGCAAAUUCAAAGAGGCCGGUAUUGUACCGGAUGUUUUGGACAAGGCACCGACUGAGAAAUUGGAAGUAUUGUUUCCAGGAAAGCCGGCCGUUAGCCUUGGCGAUAUAUUUCACACUCUAGAUGUACGUCAUGCUCCGAAAGUUAGCUAUCCAGGAAAAGAAGGCCAUUAUUACUCUUUGAUCAUGAUAGAUCCUGAUAAUUUGAGCCGUGAAAAUCCAUGUCAAGCAGAAUGGAUUCAGUGGAUGGUUUUAAAUAUACCGUACGAUGCAAUUUCUGCCGGAAUGAUGUCACGUCAUCUUGUUGGUUAUAUGAUACCUGGUCCUCAACCAAGAACUGGCUUGCAUCGUUUUGUGUUUUUGUUGU
rnacentral:rRNA from 1 species